GACGUAGGGCGCGAGCGUUGUCCGGAUUUAUUGGGCGUAAAGAGCUCGUAGGCGGCUUGUCGCGUCGACUGUGAAAUCCCGCGGCUCAACUGCGGGUCUGCAGUCGAUACGGGCAGGCUAGAGUUCGGUAGGGGAGACUGGAAUUCCUGGUGUAGCGGUGAAAUGCGCAGAUAUCUGGAGGAACACCGGUGGCGAAGGCGGCAUCCUGGACCGGUAUUGACGCUGAUGCGCGAAAGCCAGGGGAGCAAACGGG
rnacentral:rRNA from 1 species